rnacentral:rRNA from 1 species
CCGGCGAGUGAAGCGGCAACAGCUCAAAUUUGAAAUCUGGCUCCUUUUAGGGGUCCGAGUUGUAAUUUGCAGAGGGUGCUUUGGCAUCGGCGGCGGUCUAAGUUCCUUGGAACAGGACAUCACAGAGGGUGAGAAUCCCGUACGUGGGCGCCUGCCUUUGCCGUGUAAAGCCCCUUCGACGAGUCGAGUUGUUUGGGAAUGCAGCUCUAAAUGGGAGGUAAAUUUCUUCUAAAGCUAAAUACCGGCCAGAGACCGAUAGCGCACAAGUAGAGUGAUCGAAAGAUGAAAAGUACUUUGGAAAGAGAGUCAAAUAGCACGUGAAAUUGUUGAAAGGGAAGCGCUUGCAGCCAGACUUGCCCGCAGUUGCUCACCUAGGCUUUGGCCUGGGGCACUCUUCUGCGGGCAGGCCAGCAUCAGUUUGGGCGGUCGGAUAAAGGCCUCUGUCACGUAUCUCCCUUCGGGGUGACCUUAUAGGGGAGGCGUAAUGCGACCAGCCCGGACUGAGGUCCGCGCAUCUGCUAGGAUGCUGGCGUAAUGGCUGUAAGCGGCCCGUCUUGAAACACGGACCAAGGAGUCUAACAUCUAUGCGAGUGUUUGGGUGUCAAGCCCGAGCGCGCAAUGAAAGUGAACGGAGGUGGGAACCCUUUGGGUGCACCAUCGACCGAUCCUGAUGUCUUCGGAUGGAUUUGAGUAAGAGCAUAGCUGUUGGGACCCGAAAGAUGGUGAACUAUGCUUGAAUAGGGUGAAGCCAGAGGAAACUCUGGUGGAGGCUCGCAGCGGUUCUGACGUGCAAAUCGAUCGUCAAAUUUGGGCAUAGGGGGCGAAA